GCACCCGGCGUCGGCCCUAGAAAAACAAGGACUUGGCCAAAAUUCUACAUUCGCUACACGGCCCUCCGAAGGCAGAGGUCACAAGUUCGAAUCUUGUCGGGUGCGCCA
rnacentral:tRNA from 1 species